CAUGCACUGGUGGGGUCCCUCAGCCUGGCCUGCACCCUCUUGUAAUCUGCAACCCCUCAGGGGAUGUUGAAGAGCCAAUUUCAGCCUGAUCCCGCAGGCCAGGCUGAGGGACCCCACUGGUGCACC
rnacentral:pre_miRNA from 1 species